UAAUACGGAGGGUGCAAGCGUUAAUCGGAAUUACUGGGCGUAAAGCGUGCGUAGGCGGUUCGUUAAGUCUGCUGUGAAAGCCCCGGGCUCAACCUGGGAAUGGCAGUGGAUACUGGCGAGCUAGAGUGUGAUAGAGGAUGGUGGAAUUCCCGGUGUAGCGGUGAAAUGCGUAGAGAUCGGGAGGAACAUCAGUGGCGAAGGCGGCCAUCUGGAUCAACACUGACGCUGAGGCACGAAAGCGUGGGGAGCAAACAGGAUUAGAUACCCUGGUAGUCCACGCCCUAAACGAUGCGAACUGGAUGUUGGUCUCAACUCGGAGAUCAGUGUCGAAGCUAACGCGUUAAGUUCGCCGCCUGGGGAGUACGGUCGCAAGACUG
rnacentral:rRNA from 1 species